rnacentral:tRNA from 1 species
GGCCUCGUAGCUCAGAUGGCUAGAGCGUUGGCUGUGCUAAAGACUACCUCUUGCUGGCAUGGGUUCAAAUCCCACCGAAGCCA